rnacentral:ribozyme from 14 species
GAAAAGAAAAGAAAAGAAAGAAAAAUAAUACGAUGGAAGUAGGACAACAGGAACAACAAGAAAAUAAUAAUUCUUUUUCCACAUCAUCGUCAUCUUUGAUUGAAACUCAAAUCUUUGUUCCU